rnacentral:lncRNA from 1 species
AGAACUUUCUCCUUGAGAUCUUUAACAAGAAUGAAGGUUUGCUUAAUACAAAUGCCUUGGUUACAAAUAUGGGCAUUCGAUAGCUUAUACUUGAUAAUAAGCUUUUUACCAUUAGCACCAAAGAGGGCUUGCCUGGUUUUCUCAUAAAAUUGGGUAGGUACAAGACCUUCUUGUAGACAAUUCAAAGCUGCACCUGAAUCAAUUAAAGCAAUAAUAUCAAGGAUAAAUUUAUUCUUAAUUACUAUAGUAAGG